CAAGUCGAGCGAACGGACGAGAAGCUUGCUUCUCUGAUGUUAGCGGCGGACGGGUGAGUAACACGUGGAUAACCUACCUAUAAGACUGGGAUAACUUCGGGAAACCGGAGCUAAUACCGGAUAAUAUUUUGAACCGCAUGGUUCAAAAGUGAAAGACGGUCUUGCUGUCACUUAUAGAUGGAUCCGCGCUGCAUUAGCUAGUUGGUAAGGUAACGGCUUACCAAGGCAACGAUGCAUAGCCGACCUGAGAGGGUGAUCGGCCACACUGGAACUGAGACACGGUCCAGACUCCUACGGGAGGCAGCAGUAGGGAAUCUUCCGCAAUGGGCGAAAGCCUGACGGAGCAACGCCGCGUGAGUGAUGAAGGUCUUCGGAUCGUAAAACUCUGUUAUUAGGGAAGAACAUAUGUGUAAGUAACUGUGCACAUCUUGACGGUACCUAAUCAGAAAGCCACGGCUAACUACGUGCCAGCAGCCGCGGUAAUACGUAGGUGGCAAGCGUUAUCCGGAAUUAUUGGGCGUAAAGCGCGCGUAGGCGGUUUUUUAAGUCUGAUGUGAAAGCCCACGGCUCAACCGUGGAGGGUCAUUGGAAACUGGAAAACUUGAGUGCAGAAGAGGAAAGUGGAAUUCCAUGUGUAGCGGUGAAAUGCGCAGAGAUAUGGAGGAACACCAGUGGCGAAGGCGACUUUCUGGUCUGUG
rnacentral:rRNA from 1 species